UCCUCCACCCCUCAACUAACUGCCCAAGAACCUGGCUCAUUUACGGCUCUUCUAAGAAGCUGCGAAGACUGCCCCUUAAAAGAAGUGCAGCUACAAACCUUACAGUCAGAACUCAACCUUUGGAGGGACCGAGCCCUUAAGGCCGAAAAAAGAACUCCGUUAACUUCAGACAAAUGUGCCAGACACCACAACUAAGCCGCCACAAUACAAGCCCCUUCGAGGCGUACAAGUGCCAAGAUGCCAUUAUGUACAGCUCAGGGGAGAUGACAAACUUCCAUCAGGCUACCAACUACUGACUCAUGGAGCCAGCCUGGCCGUUCCCAUCACAUGGUAUCCACAUGUGAUGG